AUUGAACGCUGGCGGCAGGCCUAACACAUGCAAGUCGAGCGGGUGAAGGGAGCUUGCUCCUGGAUUCAGCGGCGGACGGGUGAGUAAUGCCUAGGAAUCUGCUUGGUAGUGGGGUAUAACGUCCGGAAACGGGCGCUGAUACCGCAGACGUCCUGAGGGAGAAAGUGGGGGAUCUUCGGACCUCACGCUAUCAGAUGAGCCUAGGUCGGAUUAGCUAGUUGGUGGGGUAAAGGCCUUCCAAGGCGACGAUUCGUAACUGGUCUGUGAGGCUGAUAAGUCACCCUGGAAGUUGACCACCGUCCAUGGGCCUACGGGACGGCGCAGGCUGGAAUGUUGGACAGUGGGCGAGAGUCUGAUCCAGCCAGCGCGCGUGUGUGGAGAAAGUGCUCCGAUUGUAAAGCACUUUAAGGUGGGAGGAAGGGCAGUAAGUUAAUACCUUGCUGUUUUGACGUUACCAGCAGAAUAAGCACCGGCUAACUUCGUG
rnacentral:rRNA from 1 species